GAGUUUGAUCGUGGCUCAGAUUGAACGCUGGCGGCAGGCCUAACACAUGCAAGUCGAGCGGAUGAGGGGAGCUUGCUCCUGGAUUCAGCGGCGGACGGGUGAGUAAUGCCUAGGAAUCUGCCUGGUAGUGGGGAUAACGUCCGGAAACGGGCGCUAAUACCGCAUACGUCCUGAGGGAGAAAGUGGGGGAGUCUUCGGACCUCACGCUAUCAGAUGAGCCUAGGUCGGAUUAGCUAGUUGGUGGGGUAAAGGCCUACCAAGGCGACGAUCCGUAACUGGUCUGAGAGGAUGAUCAGUCACACUGGAACUGAGACACGGUCCAGACUCCUACGGGAGGCAGCAGUGGGGAAUAUUGGACAAUGGGCGAAAGCCUGAUCCAGCCAUGCCGCGUGUGUGAAGAAGGUCUUCGGAUUGUAAAGCACUUUAAGUUGGGAGGAAGGGCGAGUAAGUUAAUACCUUGCUGUUUUGACGUUACCAACAGAAUAAGCACCGGCUAACUUCGUGCCAGCCGCCGCCGUAAC
rnacentral:rRNA from 1 species